rnacentral:rRNA from 1 species
AGUCGCGAACGGGUGAGUAACGCGUAGGUAACCUACCUUAUAGCGGGGGAUAACUAUUGGAAACGAUAGCUAAUACCGCAUAAGAGUUGRCAACACAUGUUGUUAAUUUAAAAGGAGCAAUUGCUUCACUAUGAGAUGGACCUGCGUUGUAUUAGCUAGUUGGUAAGGUAACGGCUUACCAAGGCUUCGAUACAUAGCCGACCUGAGAGGGUGAUCGGCCACACUGGGACUGAGACACGGCCCAGACUCCUACGGGAGGCAGCAGUAGGGAAUCUUCGGCAAUGGGGGGAACCCUGACCGAGCAACGCCGCGUGAGUGAAGAAGGUUUUCGGAUCGUAAAGCUCUGUUAUAAGCGAAGAACGGGAGUAAGAGUGGAAAGUUUACUCUGUGACGGUAGCUUAUCAGAAAGGGACGGCUAACUACGUGCCAGCAGCCGCGGUAAUACGUAGGUCCCGAGCGUUGUCCGGAUUUAUUGGGCGUAAAGCGAGCGCAGGUGGUUUAAUAAGUCUGAAGUUAAAGGCAUUGGCUCAACCAAUGUACGCUUUGGAAACUGUUAAACUUGAGUGCAGAAA